UCAUUUUUCGCCAUCAGUCGCGAGUUAACUAUUAACUGUGUUGUCCUACGUCAUCUUUACCUUUGCAACCAAGAUCGACACACCACCAAGUUAUCGGGGCGACAGCGUGCGAUCUAGGAGGCGCCGCCGUGCCACGUGACGGUCACGUGUCGAUGUCAUCGCCGCACUUGAUAAAUUUAUUAAAAUGCAUCGGGGAGCUUUAUUUACGGGUUACCUGCUGGUCAUUUAGGCACAAAGGAGCUGUAAAUGCAAUGAGAAGAAAGAAACAUUGCUAAAGGACUAAAUAUUGCUAUUGUCUCAAAAAGCUUAAGAUGCCGUUGAAGCAAACGUUGAUUGAAUGAACACAACCAGCAAGGAUGUAUUUCAGUAAAGAAUCCAUUGACGUCAAAAAAGAAUAUUGGAACAAGACUGAAUAUUGCACAAAAGUAUGUUAAUUAUUCUUUAGAAUUUUAGCGAAGAGUCCUUUGAAGUGAUAAAUCCAAGUUCAACAGAAUAGGAUCAAAUGGUAAACAUUAUGGCUUGAGGUAACUUUUCUUGAUAGGGUAUAAGGCCUUGAUUGUUGAGUUCUCGAUUGGCCAAGUCCGGAUCUAAAUCCAACUGAAAACUUAUAACGAUAUGAAAUCUCGAUUAAAACACCAAAAACCAUCAAAUGAUUUGUGGUUAUUAAUUGAAGAGCAGGUAAAUUUUAUUUCAAAUGGUUGUUGCUGAUAUCUCGUUUCGCUCUUUAUAACGAACAAAAGGGACCCAACAAAAUAAUAAAAUGUAUAAAUUAUUUAAUAAAUAUAUAGUUUUUAAAUGAGAGCUAAAUCUGUGAGCAUUUUAUUUUAUUUAAGUAUAAA